CGUAUAAAAAUAGCCAUAUUUUGUUAACCACCCAAAGAAUCUUCUCUUUUUUUAAUAAUUAUGAAUGAUAUUGCUCAUACUGAUGAUAUAAAUAAGAUAUAAACUUCUUUUUAUGCUUGAGGUGAAUAUUAUCGGGGAAAGAUAAAAUCUAUCAAAGUCCUUAAAAAUAUGGUUCAGCUAUUAAUUAAUACGUAUCUUUAUGUGGCCCUGGUAGUAAAACGAACGUGGUGAGAUAUGUUUUUUAUGUGCUUUUUGUGAUAAGAGCAUAAUUAACAUUGAAAUGAAAAUAAAAUUAAGGAGAUCUAUCAGAGGAAACCCGAAGGGUCGGUCUACCUUAAGUGGAAUUCAGAAAGAAUUGAUCUAUAUAAAAGCAAUUGCUAUUGUACAAAUGUACAUCACUAAACACAAGGGUAGUUUAUAUUAUAUGUUCUUUUGAAAAAUAAUGUCAAAGGUAGAUUUUUUCUUGUAUCAUAUCAUCUAUGUACUCUCUUAAAAUCCUGUGUGAAGGUAGACAAACUUGUUUUAUCUGAAUUUGUCAAUUGCUCAGUGGGCACAAUGCCGGGUUGUACGGGCAGUCCACUGCAUUUUGUUUUGUUUCCAAAUGAACUGCUUGAAUUAAUGGACAGCCAUGGAUGCAGAGGUGUGUUUAUUAAUGAAAAUGUUCACAACAUUACAUCCUUGUAUGCUGAUGAUAUCGCAAGUUUAGCAGAUACAGUGCGAUAGUUACAGAAACAAAUUGAUUGUGUAUCUACUUUUUGUGACGAAUAUGGUAUGAAAGUAAACCUGGAUAAGACCACGAUUGUUGUAUUUAGAAGAGGUGAAAUUGUAAAAGGUAAUGAAAAAUGGUUUUACAAAGGAGAACAGAUUGAAAUUGUGAACUUACUCCAAAAAUGUCAUGGGGUCUGUGUUGUAAAACUCUUGCACAGCAAGCUGAAAAAGCUUCAUUUGUUAUUCAGAAGUUUAUACAGCAUUUUACCUUUUUGAUCAUAUGAUAACUCCUAUACUUUGUUAAUGUCCAGACCAUAGGCCGGUGGUUUUUCUCCGGGUAUCCCGGCUAUCCUUCACCUCCAAAACCUGACACGUCCUUAAAUAACCCUGGCUGCUAAUAGGACGUUAAAAAAAAAAAAAAAACGAAACCAAACCAAAGUACUGAAGUAUGGGGUUUUGCCCGGAGUGAUGCAAUAUAAUCUGUACAUUUGAAGUUUUGUAGACGAGUUUUAGGCGUCAAUUCAAGUACCAGCAGAAAUGUUUUGUACGGUGAGCUUGGGAGAUACCCCCUACAUGGUAUAUAUACAUUGAGACUAGUAAGAUACUGGCUGAAAGUAAUGUCUAUGCCAGCUAUAAGGUAUCCAAAAGCCUGCUAUGAAAUGUUGUAUAGAUUAGAUCUUGCAGGUAGAAUAACUUGGGCCACUUAUGUGAGACAAAUACUAUAGUAUAAUAAAGUCUGGGCUUUAAUGAAGCUUGGCUAAAUCAGGGUGUUGGAGACAUUUCUGUUUUUCUCCAAACUGUUUAAACGAGGUUGGUAGAUACCUUUUUGCAAUCAUAGUAUGAUAUAUUGAACAACAAUGGUCAAAUUAUGUACAUAUAGGCAGUUAAAAAGUAUGUUUUGUCAAGAAGAUUAUCUUAUUCAAAACAUGAACAGGUAUAUACGUACUGUAUUAGCGCGUUUCAGAAGUGGUAAUCAUCAUCUUGCGGUUGAAACAGGUAGAUGGAAUGGUACUCCCAGAUAUGACAGACUUUGUAUAUACUGUCUCAAUGUUUGCAGGAGAUUGGUACUUGAAGAUGAUAUACAUUUUGUGUGCUUUUGUUCUUGGUAUGAUGAGCUCAGAAAUGAGUUGUUUUUUAAAUUACCUGUAAGUAUGAGUCACUUGGAUGUACUUGAGAAGUUUGCUAUCUUAGUGAGUGAUGUACGGUGUUGUAGAUCUUUUUGUACUUUUUUGAUACGAGCAUUUAAAGCUCGUGAAGACUAUGUCCCAAAUCCAAUACAUUUAUUAUAUACAAUUGUGUUGUAUGCAUUUAUGAUAUUUAUGCUACUUACUCUCUAAUUAUAUUACGAGAGAUCCAUCUAAUCUCAUUAAAUAUAUCUAAAGGCA